AAGUUAAUAUGCAUAAGGGUUUUUUUAUGCAUGGUGCAUACGGACUUCACAACCAUCAGAUUUAGUUUUACACGUGUUAUAAUCCUAGCUCCUCUCAGCUCACACUCUCACAAUCAGACACGGCUUCAAUCAAUCAAAACGAAGACGGCGAUGACAUUUUCACCGACGCACUUCUCCAAUGUUUCACCGACGACCCGCCGGAAACUUCUACCUCUGAUUCCACGUUUCCAGUGAAUCGAUCCAUUGUUUUCUUCAAUUCCGAUUGAAAUGGCCGAUCAGUUAGCGAGGGCAGAGGAUUUCGAGAAGAAAGCUGAGAAGAAGCUCAGCGGUUGGGGCUUAUUCGGUUCAAAAUUCAAAGAUGCUGCUGAUCUCUUCGAUAAAGCUGCAAAUUCAUUCCAACUCACUAAAUCAUGUACAACAUGUUUAUCAAUGGAUACCACCAUGACAAGGAUGGCUGAAAUGCAACGUCGACGCCGGCUUUCAUAAGGAUGGCAGAAUCACAAGAGGAGGAUGGUGCAUCUGAGAUGACGGCGGACUAUUUAGGCGUGCAGGAACAUAUUGGAUAAGUCAUGAGAAUAAGCAAGAAAUCAUUACUAUUUCAUUUAGUUAGUACUACUUCAUUGCUUGAUGAAUACUGUACUAUAUGUCUUCUGUUCCAAUUUCCAACAUAUUAAUGAUUAACAAGAACAUAGCACAUCUAUAUGACCGAAGUACAUGAUACAUGUAGGUUGUACCUCAUUGUUUGUGCCCUGAAUUGAACUGUAUUUUCCAAUGCCCUUUGCAUAACAUUAGUGAAAAAUAUUUGGAUUGCAUUUCUUCUUGUUCUAAUAUGCAUUCACAACCAAAAAAUUGUGUGUGUGGUUUUAUAUUAAGGAGUAGAAUGCUUAUAGGGAAAGGGUAUGGGUUAUUGCUCAAGUGGAAUUCUGUUUGUGGUUAAGCUUGGGAAUUGGUACUCUGCUUGAGCAAAGGUUGUAUGUACUCCAUAAGGAUUAGGAUGAUACAUUGAUACAUGCUUUAGAAUGUACUAGAUUGUAUGUUUUAUCUUUCUUCCAUUAGCAUUUUCAUGUACUAUGUUUGUAGUUUCAUUGACAUGUUUGCUUGCUUUUAUUGCACAGCUCUCUUUCAGAUAAUAAGGACAGCAACAAGUGGAGGCAUGGCAUAAUGGAGCUUUGAGUUGGAUUGUACCAUUUUCUCUUUCUUAGCAAGUGUAGUUGGAUAGUAUCCUUAUUUCAAAUAUUAAGAGAUUGUUGUUUUUAAAUUUCAACUUUGAGGUAAAGUUUGUAAAGCGUCAAGGGAAUUUGGUUGCUCAUAUGUUAGCUAGUGCGGCCAAUUCAUAGGCUAGUCGUUGUGUUUUCUAUUCGAUUCCUCCUUGUAUUGAGAACCAA